GAGUUUGAUCAUGGCUCAGAACGAACGCUGGCGGCAGGCCUAACACAGCAAGUCGAACGCAUGCCUUCGGGCAUGAGUGGCGGACGGGUGAGUAUCGCGUGGGAACCUGUCCUUCGGUGCGGAACAACCCGGGGAAACCCGGGCUAAUACCGCAUGAUCCCUGCGGGGGAAAGAUUUAUCGCCGGAGGAGGGGCCCGCGUCCGAUUAGCUAGUUGGUGGGGUAACGGCCCACCAAGGCUGCGAUCGGUAGCUGGUCUGAGAGGAUGAUCAGCCACACUGGGACUGAGACACGGCCCAGACUCCUACGGGAGGCAGCAGUGGGGAAUAUUGGACAAUGGGGGCAACCCUGAUCCAGCCAUGCCGCGUGAGCGAUGAAGGCCUUAGGGUUGUAAAGCUCUUUCGCCCGCGACGAUGAUGACGGUAGCGGGAGAAGAAGCCCCGGCUAACUCCGUGCCAGCAACCGCGGUAAUAC
rnacentral:rRNA from 1 species